rnacentral:rRNA from 1 species
GUGGGGAAUAUUGGGCAAUGGGCGAAAGCCUGACCCAGCAACGCCGCGUGAAGGAAGAAGGUCUUCGGAUCGUAAACUUCUAUCCUUGGUGAAGAUAAUGACGGUAGCCGAGAAGGAAGCCCCGGCUAACUACGUGCCAGCAGCCGCGGUAAUACGUAGGGGGCAAGCGUUGUCCGGAAUGAUUGGGCGUAGAGGGCGCGUAGGCGGCCUGGUAAGUCUGGAGUGAAAGUCCUGCUUUUAAGGUGGGAAUUGCUUUGGAUACUGUCGGGCUUGAGUGCAGGAGAGGUAAGUGGAAUUCCCGGUGUAGCGGUGAAAUGCGUAGAGAUCGGGAGGAACACCAGUGGCGAAGGCGACUUACUGGACUGUAACUGACGCUGAGGCGCGAAAGUGUGGGGAGCAAACAGGAUUAGAUACCCCGGUAGUCC